CACACGCCCUUGCUCAAACUUUCCUACUUUCAAGAGGCGAUGAAGACUUACGAAAGAAAAUUCCAGUAGUACAUGGCUCCCCUCAGGACCCCCUUGUCCUACAGCUCCUUAAAGAAGUAAACAAGUUGAAGGCCGAACGUCAGGCUAAGAUACCUGGCUGGAACCAACCCAGGCCUGGCCCUCUCACAAGGAAGAUUCUCGACACCCCCUUCAAGCGAAGACAAAAUAAAAGCUUAGUUUACAACUAUAUACUGGAAAGGAUGACUCAAUUGAACACCUUAACCUUUUUGAGUCCACUAUGGCAUAUCGGAUG
rnacentral:lncRNA from 1 species